GAGACACCUUUAUGGGGCAUGACUUGUUUCAGUGGGGCUUUGGUGCUCACUGUGUCUGCCCCCUGAGUGUGUCCCU
rfam:Myotis lucifugus cont2.8123, whole genome shotgun sequence.